GAUCGAGAAGGCUGGAGAGAGCUAUUAUUAAGACUGUCAAUAUAAAAUGUGUCCCUGGACAGUACAUAUAUAGUCCUCUGGAUGUUUAUACAGGACAUGGCCAUACAGAGAGUCGCUCAGCUUGACAACAGCAAGGCCAUCCUGAAGGACGGGGAUAUGUUUGCUGGUAUUCGGCAAUGGAUGAAGGGAAGUUUAAGAGUGAAAUAAGACUGCCCAUCACUACUACAAAAGAUGCAAUAGAGCUUGGUUUGACCAACACACACCAAAAAAGUCCCAGAUUACAUGGCCCCUUAAAUCAACUCCCCGAGUUGCUGGGAAAGGAACCGUACUGAAAACCUAUUACAGGUGUCAGUACAACACUUUACCAAGAAAUAAUCAAACAGCAGAUGAUGAAGCCAAACUCCAAAAAUACAAAUUGCCCAGCUUACAUGACCUUGACAGUCAAAGGAACUACCAUG